AAGCUCUACUAAAAGAAAUUAUUCCUAUAUUUGGGUUUCCUAGGUCCAUUCCAAGUGACAAGGGAGGGGAUGUUAUAGCAAUAAUAACUCAAGCAUCUGGAACCUUAAACCUUCCUUGGACACUACAUGCUUCUUGGUGGAUCUGAGCUACUGGCAAAAUUGAAAAGAUGGAUCACACUCCUUAAAAGGCUAUAGCUCAAAUUUGUCAGGAAAUUAAUUUAACCUGGGUUAAAGCUCCCCCAGUUGCCCUGCUUGGAGUGAAGAUCGCCAGCCCUGAGGCAAGCUCCAGUUGAACCCCGAAGACAGUUGUAUGAGAGACCCUUCCUGUAUCCCAGAAAUGGUUUAAGAUCUGGAAGGAACACACAUUAAGGAACUUAAAUACCGUCAGGUAUGUAGAAUCAUUGGGAGCUACUCUAACUGCUCUAAGUUUGCUUCUAGCCCGUAAAUGUUUCCUACAGGUGUUUGCUUGGGCCACUUCUGUCCUGGAGACUAGGUCCUACUGAAAUCUUGGAACAAUAAACUUCUAGAAGAGGAGCUCCAUCCUUGCUGGACUGAACCUUAUGAGGUGCUCUGUGUGCCCCUUCCCUGGCGAAGCUGAAGGGAACUAAGCCAUGGACCCAUCACACUGAAAUUAAGCUGUUCCCACAGAGAUCAGUGAAGCCACCAUGCCCUGUGUACAGAACACAGAUGUGGUGACAAGCCAUCUUGGGCUCUGCAAAUGAGGGCAUGGGAGUUACACCCUAAAGAUGGCAGAGGAACAAGACAGAAGGAGCCUUGGUCCUUGGACAAUCUAAUACAACAAAGCGGCCGUACCAGCCAGGAUGUGCGUGUUCCCCGCUUCAAACACAGGUUCACCAUAUAGUCUUCAUGGUUUCCUCGGUUGAGAUGGAACUCUUUGGGG